CUUUUUCUCAUGAUCAUCUUUCAGUGCGUCACAGUUUUUCGAUUUCUUUCUAACGCAUUAAAUUGUAUAUGACAGAAAAAAGGCACGUCGGUGAUUACUUUGGUAAUUAUUCUAGUUCGGUGAUUAUUCUAGUUGCCGAUAGAUGGCGCCAUAAUAAAAAAAAUAUUUUUUUUUUAAUUAGAUAAUAAUAUUACAAAUAUAAUCUGUAUAAUUUAUAAGACUAUACAAAUCAAAGACAAUACCAUUUUAUAAAUGCAAUAAACACAUUUGAUUUGUUUUUAUUCCAAAUUGAAAAUAAAAUGUGACAACUGUCAGAUUUAACUAAAAUGUCAUGUUAGAAUAAAUGUCAUAAAUGUGUAUUAUCACGGACUUACCCCUUUUCCUAUCAUUGGUUACGAACUGAAAAAUGCUCAUGAAAAGGACAAUAUCAUCAAUAUUUUCUCUGGAAUAGUGACAAUCAAUCGUAGUUCAAGAAAUAUCCGCUAGGGAGCGCAUUGGUUAGUUUUAAAUUGGAAGGAUUGUGCAUCUCUUUCUCUCUAAAACGGUACAGUCUUUAGUUAUGUUCACGAAUCGAGGAAGUUCGCACAGUUUCGCUUAAAGAGUAAGUAUACAAAACCAAAAUAUCAACUUGAAGAUAAAUUUUCAGAGCAGAAGAAAAAUGGUUUAUUGGGUUUACUGCAAAACAAAACCAUUCCAGGUUAUCAUCUUGGAUUCUAUGAAAAUCUUUGAAAAACUUUCCCGUUAACUUUUAAUUUGUUUUUACUUAAUUGAUUGUUUGUAUUUAGUAGUAAAUGUGAUUUUGUUAAAUAAAGAGUUUUGCCUUCGGUACACUCAUUUCUAAGACUAAGUUUCAUUGUAAGGUUAAAUUUAUUUUAUAUAUUACCUACUAUUUGUUAUAAUAUUUCUGAGAAUAAAAAUUUGCUCAUAA